rnacentral:rRNA from 1 species
AUUGAACGCUGGCGGCAGGCUUAACACAUGCAAGUCGAGCGAGCGGCGGACGGGUGAGUAAUGUCUGGGAAACUGCCUGAUGGAGGGGGAUAACUACUGGAAACGGUAGCUAAUACCGCAUACCAUCAGAUGUGCCCAGAUGGGAUUAUCUAGUAGGUGGGGUAAUGUCUCCCCUAGGCGACGAUCCCUAGCUGGUCGGCGAGGAUGACGAGACAAACUGGAACUGAGAAACGGUCCAGACUCCUACGGGAGGCAGCAGUGGGGAAUAGUGCACAAUGGGCGCAAGCCUGACGCAGCCAUGCCGCGUGUGGUAAGAAGGCCUUCGGGUUGUAAAGCACUUUCAGCGAGGAGGCGUUACUCGCAGAAGAAGCACCGGCUAACUCCGUGCCAGCAGCCGCGGUAAUAC